rnacentral:tmRNA from 2 species
GGGGGCGUAAUGGUUUCGACGGGAUUGUUGAGACAUGAUAAGCGGGUAGAGGAUUCUCGUUGGCCUCUUAAAAAACGAGAAACUAAAAUUAAACGCUAAAAACGAUAAUUUCGCUUUAGCUGCUGCCUAAUUAGGCGGCCCGUCAGUCCCAGGUUGCUGCACCUGGGGUAGCUGGCGUCGAUAAGUCAGCCCUUUUGCAUAGGAAGGUCAAAUGCCAGCACUGAUUUGGCCGUAGCCUUGAGCCAUUUCGGAACUUAAAGGCUACCGAAAGUGGCACCCUGCCUGUAGGGGUCCACCGUAGGGAAACGUAGGAUUCAAGUCCAAAUGAGACGUAGUCUCUAUGGAUACUGGGUGCUGCACAAAUUACAGGCUACACCCGUAGAAGUUCUUGAGGAUAUGGUUUCGGACAGGGGUUCGACUCCCCUCGCCUCCACCA